CAAAAGCUUGGUCCUGACUUUAUUAUCAACUCUAGCUAAAUUUACACAUGCAAGUAUCCGCGACCCUGUGAGAAUGCCCUAACAGUUUUCUGCCAGAAAACAAGGAACUGGUAUCAGGCACACCCCUAUGGUAGCCCAUGACACCUUGCCCAGCCACACCCUCAAGGGAACCCAGCAGUGAUAAACCUUAAGCAAUAAGUGAAAACUUGACUUAGUUAAAGCUAAGAGAGCCGGUAAAUCUCGUGCCAGCCACCGCGGUUAUACGAGAGGCUCAAGUUGAUAAACCUCGGCGUAAAGUGUGGUUAAGGAAAUUUUCAACUAAAGCCGAACGCCUAUAAAAGCAGUGAUACGCUUAUUAAGGCAUGAAGCCCCUCUACGAAAGUGGCUUUAUAAACCCUGACUCCACGAAAGCUAUGAAACAAACUGGGAUUAGAUACCCCACUAUGCUUAGCCGUAAACAUUGAUAGAAUGCUACAUAUUUCUAUCCGCCUGGGAAUUACGAGCAUUAGCUUAAAACCCAAAGGACUUGGCGGUUCUUUAGAUCCCCCUAGAGGAGCCUGUCCUAUAACCGAUAAUCCCCGUUCAACCUCACCCUCCCUUGUUAAUCCCGCCUAUAUACCGCCGUCGUAAGCUUGCCCUGUGAAGGACAAAUAGCGAGCAAAAUUAGUAUAACCCAAAACGUCAGGUCGAGGUGUAGCGCAUGAGAGGGGAAGAGAUGGGCUACAUUCGCUAGUCUAGCGAAUACGAAUGAUGUAAUGAAAACGUACAUACUGAAGGAGGAUUUAGCAGUAAGUGAAAAGCAGAGUGUUCCACUGAAGCAGGCUCUAAAGUGCGCACAUACCGCCCGUCACUCUCCCCGAGCAUUUCCAAACAUAUAACUAAAACAACAUAUGAGCAAAGGUGAGACAAGUCGUAACAUGGUAAGUGUACCGGAAGGUGCACUUGGUACAAAU
rnacentral:ncRNA from 1 species